rnacentral:rRNA from 1 species
UACGUAGGGGGCAAGCGUUGUCCGGAAUCAUUGGGCGUAAAGAGCGUGUAGGCGGCCCGAUAAGUCCGCUGUGAAAGUCCAGGGCUCAACCCUGGGAUGCCGGUGGAUACUGUCGGGCUCGAGUCCGGAAGAGGAGUGUGGAAUUCCUGGUGUAGCGGUGAAAUGCGCAGAUAUCAGGAGGAACACCAAUGGCGAAGGCAGCACUCUGGGACGUGACUGACGCUCAGGCACGAAAGCGUGGGGAGCAAACAGG